rnacentral:rRNA from 1 species
AUUGAACGCUGGCGGCAGGCCUAACACAUGCAAGUCGAACGAGUGGCGGACGUGUGAGUAAUGUCUGGGAAACUGCCUGAUGGAGGGGGAUAACUACUGGAAAUGGUAGCUAAUACCGCAUACCAUCAGAUGUGCCCAGAUGGGAUUAGCUAGUUGGUGGGGUAACGUCGCACCAAGGCGACGAUCCCUAGCUGGUCUGAGAGUAUGACCGGCCACACUGGAACUGAGACACGGUCCAGACUCCUACGGGAGGCAGCAGUGGGGAAUAUGGCACAAUGGGCGCAAGCCUGAUGCAGCAAUGCCGCGUGUAGGAAGAAGGCCUUCGGGUUGUAAAGUACUUUCAGCGGGGAGGCGUUACCCGCAGAAGAAGCACCGGCUAACUCCGAGCCAGCAGCCGCGGUAAUUC